rnacentral:tRNA from 1 species
GCCAGCGUAGCUCAGUUGGUAGAGCAUCUCACUCGUAACGAGAAGGUCGUCGGUUCAAUCCCGACCGCUGGCUCAA